rnacentral:sRNA from 1 species
AGUAAGCGCGUUAAGGAUUGAAACGACAUCCUUUUAAUUUUGUCAGUUCGAGUAAAUUUGAGAAGAAUGAGCAAAUUUGUAUCGAGAACAAAAAAUUAAAAGAUAUAGUGUAAAGCCUGUUAAAAC